AAUCAACGCUGGCGGCGUGCCUCAGACAUGCAAGUCGAACGAUUAAAGCUCUCUUCGGAGAGUGUAUAGAGUGGCGCACGGGUGAGUAACACGUAAGUAAUCUACCUUUGAGUGGGGAAUAACCCGGGGAAACCCGAGCUAAUACCGCAUAAUGCAGCGGCACCGCAAGGUGACAGUUGUUAAAGGAGCAAUCCGCCUAAAGAGGAGCUUGCGGCAGAUUAGCUAGUGGUAAGGUAAUGGCUUACCAAGGCUUCGAUCUGUAUCCGGCCUGAGAGGGCGGUCGGACACACUGACACUGAAUAACGGGUCAGACUCCUACGGGAGGCAGCAGUCGGGAAUUUUGGGCAAUGGGCGAAAGCCUGACCCAGCAACGCCGCGUGAAGGAUGAAGUAUUUCGGUAUGUAAACUUCGAAAGAAUGGGAAGAAUCAAUGACGGUACCAUUUAUAAGGUCCGGCUAACUACGUGCC
rnacentral:rRNA from 1 species